GGCGUGAUGACGGAGUGGUUAACGUGUCAGACUUGAACGCUUUGGCUUCGAGCUAUCUGAUGCCUUCGGGCGCGCAGGUUCGAAUCCUGCUCACGUCG